GGGUGAGUAACGCGUAGGAAUCUGCCCAUCUGUGGGGGAUACCAGUUGGAAACGACUGUUAAUACCGCAUAAUAUCUGCGGAUUAAAGGUGGCCUUUGCGCUGCCGCAGAUGGAUGAGCCUGCGUUGGAUUAGCUAGUUGGUGGGGUAAGGGCCUACCAAGGCUACGAUCCAUAGCUGAUUUGAGAGGAUGAUCAGCCACAUUGGGACUGAGACACGGCCCAAACUCCUACGGGAGGCAGCAGUGGGGAAUAUUGGACAAUGGGGGAAACCCUGAUCCAGCAAUGCCAUGUGUGUGAAGAAGGCUCUAGGGUUGUAAAGCACUUUAGUUGGGGAGGAAAGCCUGUGAGUUAAUAGCUUGCAGGAAGGACGUUGCCCAAAGAAUAAGGACCGGCUAACUCCGUGCCAGCAGCCGCGGUAAUACGGGGGGUCCGAGCGUUAAUCGGAAUUACUGGGCGUAAAGGGUCUGUAGGUGGUUUGUUAAGUCAGAUGUGAAAGCCCAGGGCUCAACCUUGGAACUGCAUUUGAUACUGACAAACUAGAGUAUGGUAGAGGAAUAGGGAACUUCUGGUGUAGCGGUGAAAUGCGUAGAGAUCAGAAGGAACACCAAUGGCGAAGGCAACAUUCUGGACCAAUACUGACACUGAGGGACGAAAGCGUGGGGAUCAAACAGGAUUAGAUACCCUGGUAGUCCACGCUGUAAACGAUGAGUACUAGCUGUUGGAUUCGGUGUAAAGGAUCUAGUGGCGCAGCUAACGCGUUAAGUACUCCGCCUGGGGACUACGGCCGCAAGGCUAAAACUCAAAGGAAUUGACGGGGACCCGCACAAGCGGUGGAGCAUGUGGUUUAAUUCGAUGCAACGCGAAGAACCUUACCUGGUCUUGACAUCCUGCGAACUUUCUAGAGAUAGAUUGGUGCCUUCGGGAACGCAGUGACAGGUGCUGCACGGCUGUCGUCAGCUCGUGUUGUGAAAUGUUGGGUUAAGUCCCGCAACGAGCGCAACCCCUAUUGAUAGUUACCAUCAUUAAGUUGGGUACUCUAUUGAGACUGCCGCUGACAAGGCGGAGGAAGGUGGGGACGACGUCAAGUCAUCAUGGCCCUUACGACCAGGGCUACACACGUGCUACAAUGGGUAUUACAGAGGGCUGCGAAGGUGCGAGCUGGAGCGAAACUCAGAAAGGUACUCUUAGUCCGGAUUGCAGUCUGCAACUCGACUGCAUGAAGUCGGAAUCGCUAGUAAUCGCAGGUCAGAAUACUGCGGUGAAUACGUUCCCGGGUCUUGUACACACCGCCCGUCACACCAUGGGAGUGGGUUGCUCCAGAAGUAGAUAGCUUAACGAAUGGGCGUUUACCACGGAGUGAUUCAUAACUGGGGUGAAGUCGUAACAAGGUAGCCGUAGGGGAACCUGCGGCUGGAUCACCUCCUUAACGAAAAUACGAAAAAAUAGAAAUAAGCUCUAAUUACAUAUUCAAGUGAUUUAGCAUAGUGUUUGUAGGUAAUAUAUUUUAGUGUAAAUAGAAUAUGGGUCUGUAGCUCAGUUGGUUAGAGCGCACCCCUGAUAAGGGUGAGGUCGGUAGUUCGAGUCUACUCAGACCCACCAGUAAUUUUGGGGCCAUAGCUCAGCUGGGAGAGCACCUGCUUUGCACGCAGGGGGUCAGCGGUUCGAUCCCGCUUGGCUCCACCAUACUUAUUUACGCGAAGAUAGAGAUAUUUAACAAUUUAGUAUAGAAAUAGACUUAAGAAAAUAAGUGCAAGCGGUGGAUGCCUUGGCAUUCAGAGGCGAUGAAGGACGUGUUAAUCUGCGAUAAGCUUCGGGGAGCUGGUAAAUAAGCUUUGAUCCGGAGAUUUCCGAAUGGGGGAACCCACCUGGCAUAAGCUGGGUACUCACUCGAUAUGGAGUGUAGAGCGAACGAGGGGAACUGAAACAUCUAAGUACCCUUAGGAAGAGAAAUCAAUUGAGAUUCCCAUAGUAGUGGCGAGCGAAGUGGGAAGAGCCUGGUAUGAUUUAGCUGUAAUUAUAGUAGAACAAGUUGGGAAGCUUGACGAUAGAGGGUGAUAGUCCCGUAUACGAAAUAAUCACAGUGGAACUAAGCAUGCGAACAAGUAGGACGGGGCACGUGGAACCUUGUCUGAAUAUGGGGGGACCAUCCUCCAAGGCUAAAUACUCCUGAAUGACCGAUAGUGAACUAGUACCGUGAGGGAAAGGUGAAAAGAACCCUUAUAAAGGGAGUGAAAUAGAAUCUGAAACCGCUUGCAUACAAGCAGUAGGAGCAUGAUUUAGUCAUGUGACUGCGUACCUUUUGUAUAAUGGGUCAGCGAGUUACUUUUAGUGGCGAGGAUAACUGAAUAAGGGAUCCGUAGCGAAAGCGAGUUUUAAUAGGGCGAUAAGUCGCUAGGAGUAGACCCGAAACCGGCGCGAUCUAUCCAUGGCCAGGUUGAAGGUUGGGUAAUACCAACUGGAGGACCGAACCCAAUACUGUUGCAAAAGUAUGGGAUGAGCUGUGGAUCGGAGUGAAAGGCUAAUCAAGCACGGAGAUAGCUGGUUCUCCCCGAAAACUAUUUAGGUAGUGCCUCGUGUAUAACUCAUUGGGGUAAAGCACUGUUUCGACAAUGGGGGUUUUACGACCUUACUGACUCGAUGCAAACUCAGAAUACGAUGAAGUUUAAUCACGGGAGACAC
rnacentral:rRNA from 2 species